rnacentral:lncRNA from 1 species
UGGCUAGCGAUGCGGAGCGAGGCCGGUUCGUUUGUAUGGGGUCUUAUGAGGCGAACCUAUGGGAGUCAAGGGCGCGGAGCGCCGUGGCAAAGCGAGGGUCGUUGAGACGGUCUAGAAGCACAGUGUGGACUUGUUGGUUCCCUCGUCAGGAGCGAUAGGACACGAGGGCCGCACGGGUCGGAUGUGAAGCACGGAAGUGCAAAGCAUGGACGUGCGGGGUGUCACACUGAGGUGCUGAUGUUGUGGACAAGCGAGCUUGUGGCGUGUAAUUGGGUGGCAUUUCGGAGGUAAACCGUUGGACCGAGCGAGCAGGCCGCGUAUG